UGCGCCGGCAGCUCGCCGGACUCCCGCAGCGCGUCUCCGAAAGUUCCAGUGCGGCGGGUGGACCACCGUCCAGCACAGCUGCACGCACCAGAGAAGGGAAAAGAAAACUCCCCGGGGGCUCCGUUGGCUUCUCUGGGAGUGACAAAGACGCUUUUCCACUUGAAGCCCGGAAGCUUCCUCCUUUGCAAUCCGAUAAGGGCUGCAGUGAGCGCCGCUCAUCCUUUUGAAGCCACCUUGCCAGGAAGAGCCGGUUGUGGGUGCACCCGCGGUGCCUGGCCGUCCCCUUCCAGGCUGGAUUCUGCGGAGCCUUCCUACUGACCACAGUCCUAAAGACCAUCCUUUUCCCACUGGCAGCACUGCCUUUGUCAUAAACCAAUAGAAAGGCGAAUCAACACAUGUUGGAAUCAAUACACAAGGACUUUAAAAUAACCAUGAGAAAUGCAUCUAAGAUCUUAUUAAAGAGAAAAAGAUAAAAUUGAUGAAGAGGCGUUCAGGCUUCAAGAUGGAUGAUGAACUUUCAAAAAGGAAAGAGAUGGAAAAUCAUCAAAAUUACCAUAAACUGUGCUGCCAACUGAAUAUAUUUUCCUUUGUAGCAUGUUCAGAGUCAAGGAAGAUUUUAUUCCUGCAUUAUGUAAUCCACCGACAGCCUCCUUACCUACUGUCUUAAUCCAGGUUAUUCCUGAAUGCAGAGCCUGAGACAAAGGUACACACGUUCUAUUUAGGAAUGUGAUCCCAGGGAGCAGGAAUAAAAGAGGAUUGAACAGGGGUAAGAAGAAAAGAAAAUCCAAGCAAAACAGGUAGUAUAAUCAAGUAGUUCAGUUGUUAACAGGUACUUAGUGCAUGCAGAUCCUCCUCAGGAGCCUUACCCAACCUUGUCUCAGAACAUCCUUUGUCCACCCAAAGGAUGAAAGGGAGAAGCAUUUAGUUCUCAGCAGCAGCCUCCUGCUUGCUGAGGGCUGCUCCCAUGGGAUGUUAACUUCUCUAUCUCUAUGGGUCGCUUAGAGAGGACAGCCUCACUGGCACCAGAACAUGACAUGUUGCCGCAUCAGAAAAGUCUUGGGACAGGAAGCUAGAUCCUUGGUGUGUACCUGAAGUGAGGCACUGUCAGCACAGAGCAGGGUGAAACCUACUCCAAACUUCACCAGAGCUGUGGCUGGAAUCAGAGGUUAGAGAGAUAUGGAACAGUGCACAAGAGGCAUCUUCUAAGCCUACAGAAGGUGCCCUUAGCCUAGUCCAAAUCUAUAGCCUCCUUUCUAUCAUCAAAAUUUCAGUAUCCAGAACAAGGUUGUUGAAGGGGUGAAAUUAGGAAGGUUAAAUGUAUUACAAGAUAUAUGUUAAUAAUAGUUUUAGCCUUGAGUGAUGUUUAAAAAAAUAGAAAUUGACAUUAGAACUUGGAAGAUUAGGAGAGCCUGUGUGGUACAGUUGGUUGAGCAUCUGACUAGGAUUUGGCUCAGGUCAUGAUCCCAGGGUUUUGGGAUUGAGCACUGUGUUGGACU